rnacentral:misc_RNA from 1 species
GGGAAGCAUAUAAUCCUUGCCACUGUAAUAAAUACACCACCACAAACUUUAAUACUACAUAAAUAUUUGUCAAUUCCAAGGUGAUUUGCAAAUGAUAUCAAAAAAAAAAUCAAGCACAAGAAAAAAAGGGAGCACUAUUUUCCUACAAGGCCUAAAUAUGUGAUCCUUGUUUAAAUAAUCACACUUCAUUGCAAUAUGCUGAUCUGCUAUCCCAAAAAUACUAACGUAGAUAAGUACAUUUUUUUUUCCAAUCAUGCAGCCAAAUCUCAGAAAGCAUACAGCUCCUGUAAUUUGAAAAGAGAAUAGGGAACAAACAAAAAGAUGUGGUAUCUUUUAUUUAACCAAAUGCAUGCAUGCUAAUAUUUGCAGGUAAUAAUAGAUUUGAAGAACCUCUAGGACUCAUCAAAAUAAGGGAAAUAGUUACUUUGCCUCAUUACUUCACUCUAAAUUACUCAUGUUGGAUAAAAAUAAUCAAAGGUAAGUUUGGUAUAUUGGAGGGAAAAUCUAAAAAAAUUCAGGAAUAGAUGAUUCUGACCUCUGGGCAUGAUACCAUAGACGGUGCUCAAAACUAAGCCUGAGAAAUAUAGCUUUCGAAGUAUUUUUAAGUUGUUCGGUAUAAAUUUCAAUGAAACCUAGUAAAGCAAGCCGGAUUCUAUUUACAUGGCUUAAUCCUACAUUUGUCCUGGUAAAUUUUAUCAAAAUGUUGGUCCCAGGACUCUACAGCUAACAAGUCAUUUGACGCUUAAACUUUUGCUAUCCAUUACAUUUCCUUUUGCAACAGAAAUCAUAUUUUUUGGAACAUGCAUGUAUGAAAUU